AUUGAACGCUGGCGGCAGGCCUAACACAUGCAAGUCGAACGAGUGGCGGACGGGUGAGUAAUGUCUGGGAAACUGCCCGAUGGAGGGGGAUAACUACUGGAAACGGUAGCUAAUACCGCAUACCAUCAGAUGUGCCCAGAUGGGAUUAGCUAGUAGGUGGGGUAACGGCUCACCUAGGCGACGAUCCCUAGCUGGUCUGAGAGGAUGACCAUCCACACUGGAAAUGAGAGACGGUCCAGACUCGUACGGGAGGCAUCAGUGGGGAAGAGUGAACAAUGGGCGAAAGCCUGAUGCAGCAAUGCCGCGUGUAGGAAGAAGGCCUUCGGGUUGUAAAGUACUGUCAGCGAGGAGGCGUUACUCGCAGAAGAAGCACCGGCUAACUCCGUGCCAGCAGCCGCGGUAAUUC
rnacentral:rRNA from 1 species